rnacentral:lncRNA from 1 species
UUUUUUUUUUUUUUUAAGAUUUUAUUUAUUGAGAGAGAGUGUGCAAGUGAGAGAGAGAGAGAAAGCAUGAGCAGUGGGGAGGGGCAGAGGGAUGGGGAGAGAGACAAACAGACUCCCUGCUGAGCAGAGAGCCUGCUGUGGGGCUUGAUCCCAGGACCAACCCCAGGAUCAUGACCUAAAGCAAUGCUUAACCGACUAAGCCACACAGGCACCCCUAGGUGUGCUUCUUUAAACACUGUAAGGGGAAGUAGGUGGAAGGAGAAAGGGGAGAAAAAAAAAAAAAAACAUUGUGAGGAAACCUCUGUAUAUCACCAAAGAAGUAGCUGUAGGGAAUAAAUGUAUGGCUUACUCCCUCUUGAAAAUGUAUUUGAGGGUGCCUGGGUGAAUAAUUUGGUUAAGCACCUGACUCUUGGUUUUGGCUCAGGUCAUGAUCUCAUGGGUUGUUAGAUAGAGCCCCACCUCAGGCUCUGUGCUCAGGGAGGAAUCUGCUUGAGAUUCUCUCCCUCUGCCCCUCCCGCCAAUCAUAUGCGCUCUCCCUCUAAAAUAAACAAAUGUUUAAAAUUAGAAAAAAAAAAAAAAAAAAAAAAAAAGAAAGUCUAUGUGAGGGCAGCCCGGGUGGCUCAGCGGUUUAGCGCCACCUUCAGCCCAGGGCCUGAUCCUGGAGACCCCAGAUCGAGUCCCACGUCGGGCUCCCUGCAUGGAGCCUUCUUCUCCCUCUGCCUGUGUCUCUGCCUCUCUCUCUCUCUCUCUCUCUCUCUCUCUCUGUCUCUCAUGAAUAAAUAAAUAAAAUAUUUUUUAAAAAGUCUAUGUGACCUUAAGUUAGGCAAAGAAUUCUUAGCUACAAACACAAAAAGCAUGAUAGAUAACAAAAAAAAUUAUAAAUCAUACUUAGCCAAUUUCUUAAACUUCUGCAGUUCAAAAACAUCGAGAAAAUAUAAGACAAGCCACAGACUGGGAGGAAAUAUUUGUAAAUUAUAUUUUGAUAAAGCACUUGUAUCUAGAAUUGUAUAUCUAGAAAUAUAUGUUAAGACCUCUUACAACUCAAGUAGAAAACUCAGUUUUUAAAAUGGGCAAAAUACUUGAGUAAACAUUUCACCAAGGAUAUACAAAUGGGUUAAUAAGCACAUGAAAAGAUGCUCAACCUCAUUAGUCUUUAGAGAAAUUCAAAUGAAAACCACAGGGAUACUACUUCAUAACCUCUAGAAUCACACAUAAUAACAGGUACUGAUAAGGGUGCAGAGAAACUGGAGCCCUCAUGACAUUACUGAUGGCACAUAAAAUGGUGUGGCUAUAUUAGAACAUAGCUUGAGUUUCUUAAAAAGUUAAACAUAAUUUAUCAUAUAAUCCAGUGACUCCACUCCUAGGUUAUUUCACAAGAGAAAUGAAAAUAUAUGUCCACACAAAGGUUUUUCACAAAUAUUCACAGCAGCAUUAUUCACAAUAGCUCCAAACUGGGAACAAUCCAAAUAUCCAUGGUGACUGAAUAAACAAAAAGGAGUAUAUUCACAAUAGGAUAUUAUCCAGUAAUAAAAAGGAACCUGUGAUACAUGCUACAACAUGCAUGAAUUUCAAAAACAUAAUGCUAAGUGAGAGAAGCUAGACACCAAGACCACAUAUGGUAUGAUUCCAUUUAUAUGAAAUGUACAGAAAUGUAAAAGAUACAGAUACAAAAAAUUAGUGGUUGCCUGGGACUGAGAGUGGGAAUGGGAAUUCAUUGCAAAUGAGAAACAGACUCUUGUGAGGAUGGAAAUGUUUAAAAAAAUAAAUAAAGGAUUGUGGUGAUGACUGCACAACUCUAAAUGUAGUAAAGAUCACUGAUAUCUAUACUUCAAGUGGAUGAAUUUUAUGGUAUGUUAAUAAUACCUCUCAAUAAAGUUCUUUUUAAAAAUA